rnacentral:lncRNA from 1 species
GAGACCUUCCGCACCUGAGAUAAACGCUGAGGACGCAAGAGCGAUUUUACCAGAGGAAAACAGUCACAGAGCCGUCGCUGGACUCAUAUUAAACAGUACUGCGACAGAACGAAAAAGCAAGAUAAAAAUAGUAUGGCCGGAUCUUUUUUAAAAUGGGACCACUGCGCAAGUUACGCCUGCGUAUUGCAGGGAAGGACCGUAAAAGGCUGUGGUGCUGAUCAACGAAGGAUUUCUCGGAGAAAAUUCCUCCUUUGCGGAAAUGUCCGUAGAAACGCACCUUUUUUUUUUCCUGCCAGGACAAACCGCCGGCGAUAUCCGUUCAUGUGAAAGUGUUUACUAACAUUCUCUGAAGACUCACUGGGUUCUCAGCUCGAGAACGUUCCUGUCACAAGACGUUUAGGAGGCAGGAUGCCGGUACAAUGUAUUUAUGUUCUUGUAAACUGUUGCAUUAACAGUGCACUUCAAGUGGGCACAUUUGUCGUUGGAUUUUUUACCAACUCGAGCUUGGACUUUAGGACGGGGAAAAGAAGUGCUAAAUGUUUUUGAAUAAAACCUUUACUGCACAUGAUAAACAUCCCUUAAAAAUUACCUAGGAGCACCCUAAAUUUUAAAAUGAUCACAAAGACCUGGACAGAUUACAGUAAACCUUCAACAUCGCUAAACACACGUACCAUAAAUCAAAAGAAACACACUGCUAAUGAUCCGUUUUUUGAUGUGGAAAUAUCAUGCUGUUUUUAAGGGAAAUUAUACUUUAUUGCGAUGUUUUAUUUCAAAACAAGAUGUUACACUUUAUUUCCUAUAAUUUUAUUUACAAUAUUUUACACCCGUUAAGCAAAAAUCCCCCUACAUUGCUAUUCUGUUUUUUUUUAAUCAGUUCACUACUGUAGUAUCUUUUUGUUCUCCAUAUAUUUUUGAAAAAUACGCAAAAGAGUUCUGCAGAACUUAUCAGGUUGGACUCUGUGAAGCCUGCAGGCCAGAAUUGCUAAGGUGACAAAAAAGCAAAAAAAAAGUCAACUUCUCCUCUCUCUAGGAAGUCUGUCCCAGGAAGUUUUCAAACCUCUCUUGGCCAGAGAACAUCAGUGGGAGUGAUUGGAGGCCCUGGAUGGGAAGUCCCGCCAAGUAAGGAGGAACACAUAGGAACUUGCUUAAAGAAUAAUUCUGCCCAUGCUUUCAUAGAGAUAAUGUGCUG